GCUGCAGUGGGGAAUAUUGCACAAUGGGGGAAACCCUGAUGCAGCCAUGCCGCGUGUGUGAAGAAGGCCUUCGGGUUGUAAAGCCCUUUCAAAUGCGAAGAUGAUGACGGUAACAUCAGAAGAAGCCCCGGCUAAUUUCGUGCCAGCAGCCGCGGUAAUACGAAAGGGGCAAGCGUUGUUCGGAUUUACUGGGCGUAAAGGGCACGCAGGCGGUCUUGCCAGUCAGGGGUGAAAGCCCGGGGCUCAACCCCGGAACUGCCUCUGAUACUGCAAGACUAGAGACUAGGAGAGGGUGGUGGAAUACCCAGUGUAGAGGUGAAAUUCGUAGAUAUUGGGUAGAACACCAGUGGCGAAGGCGGCCACCUGGCCCAGAACUGACGCUGAGGUGCGAAAGCGUGGGGAGCAAACAGGAUUAGAUACCC
rnacentral:rRNA from 1 species